UGGGUAGCUGUCUAUAAACUCUGCACACCUAUAACAAGCUAAGGAGGAUGCAGCACGUUUGAUGGAGCCAGGAAUUCCUCCCUGAAAACAUCAUGGUUCCUUGAGGAAGUAGACCACCGGUUCGACCUUGUCGUAAUUGCCCUAAGCAGAUUGAAAGAGAAUGAGUUAGAGAAAGCCAUAAACUUGCAUUGGGACACCUUCCAUCUUUUUCGUGGCCUGAAGAUUGGAUACAUUGUUAAGAGGGUCAACAGCAAUUGACUUUGUGAGUAAUGCCAGCAUGCUGUAACAGGAAAUGGCAAUGACGACACACUUCUUUCA